GUUUUUUCUGGAUCCUUCACCUUGGAUUUACUUGUUUCUUUUCUUCUCUCUAUAUCUUUAAUUCUGAACUGGCCUUGGGCUGGCUUACUCUCCUUGUCAUCACUGAAUGCAAUGAUCUGAAGGGCAUAGUUUUGAUCUGGAAUGAGACCCUGAAUAAUUGCUUUGGUUGCAGUGUUUUGAAGAAUUAGUUGAUUGGUUUUUCCACCUGAACUUGGAGUGACAAGCAGCUUAUAUCCACUGAAUUGCCCUUUGGGGGCUUUCCAAGAGAUCUGUACACUGUCAGGAUUGACUACAUUAUACCUUAGCCUUGUUGGUGGGGACACUUGGCCCUGGGCAUCACUGACAGAGUAAGCUGCAACAGCUAAAAAAGCCAAGAGGAAGCAGCUCUGUACCUCAUUCCAACACAGCAUCUUUUCCCACUUGAUGUAUACAGUAUCAGUGGGUCUGGGCGGGCAGCAGCGGGUGAGUCGGGGCCGGGGGUGCUGCCGCUCGCUCCCCUCCCUCCGACUGCUCUUCCCCUCACAGCGCCGCGUCCGGUAAGGCGAGAGGGACGGGAGAGGAGGCGGGCAGUUAUAAAGCAGAAGGUGGAAAGAAGGGGGGAAAGAGGCGCGCGGAGCCUGGCAGCCAGCGCCCGCCCCCGCUCCGGUCCCGGCGGUCCUCAGGUGCGCGGGCGGGGCCGGGCCCGCAGGUGCUGGGCUGCUCCUCUCAGCUCUUCUCAGCUCCUUCCCCUCUUUCCUGAGUCGCUCGUUCAAUCCGUUGUAAAUGAUUUAAAAGGUGCCUGCUUCACGGUGCUGCGAGGAAUGUGAGUAUUUCUCCAGUGUUGCUCGUUGUGAUGCUCAGAUCAGUGAUUCAUUGGGGAAAUAUUUAUAUAAAAAUGUUCCAGAGCUUGUCUGGCUUCGUUAUAAACCUUGAUUAAAAGCGGCGUAGUACAUAAGCACGUUUUUGCUGUCUAUAUGGACACAGCGAAGGGAAAGUGGAAUUGCAGAACCUGUAUUCGUGCAAAAACUGUGGCUUACCUACAGUAUGCCCUGCUGAAUUUACAACUGAGGUACUACUCAUGAGGUUUGUAAGUCCCAAGAAUUUAAGAGGUGAGGGAAAGUAUUCAUUUCAAUGUGCCUUGUCCUCCAUAUGAAGUUACAGAUGGAAUGGUGGAAGGAUUGCAGUUAAGAACUGCGAGGAAAGAGGGAUGUGCAUGCUUUGUGAAUGCAGCAGAGCAGGACUGCUGCUGCUGGGUUGGGCUCCCAGUCCUGCAGCUCUUGUCCUAAGUCUCUGUGUGCAGAUAUCUCACUGCUGAAACUGCAGAAAUGUUUAAGCUUUAGAGGCACUCACCUGAGUCUGGCUGGUUUCUGGAGCAAAGGUUAAGGAGCAUUCCUAGAUCUACCCGGCACAUCCCGUUCUCUGCAGCCGAGAUUCUGUGGCACCACCAGAUGUGUGCUGUGAUGAACACUUAAUACUAGCUGACAAGAGAGUCACUUACAAGAUAACGUUCCUUCUGAAACAAUGACGCGUUCAGCUCAUUGAUGCUAAAUGGGAUACAUUUUAGAAUCAUAGAAUCACCAAGGUUGGAAAAGACCUACAAGUUCAUCCAGUCCAACCAUCCACCUGUCACCAGUAGGUCUCACUAAACAAUGUCCCUCAACACAACGUCCAAACGUUCCUUAAGCACCUCCAGGGUCAGUGUCUCCACCACCUCCCUGGACAGCCCAUUCCAUUUUGUACCUUUCCAGCCCCUAAUUUAUGGAUUUAGCUAAAUAACAGUAGCCAGAAGUCAAGGAGGCAGAUGGAUAAGCCAAUCUGAAAUACCCUUAAAUACUUGGUAAACACAGAGAGAUCAAUCAGGCUCAUCCAUGACUACUUUCUGACGCACGUACUUGAGGGCAUGACAAGGAGCAGCAUGCCAAAGGGAAAGUCAGUAUGCCAAAGGGAAAGUCUGGC
rnacentral:lncRNA from 1 species